rnacentral:misc_RNA from 1 species
GAUGAAGAACGUAGCGAAAUGCGAUACGUAAUGUGAAUUGCAGAAUUCAGUGAAUCAUCGAGUCUUUGAACGCACAUUGCGCCCUCUGGUAUUCCGGAGGGCAUGCCUGUCCGAGCGUCAUUGCUGCCCUCAAGCACGGCUUGUGUGUUGGGCUCCGUCCCCCGAUCCCGGGGGACGGGCCCGAAAGGCAGCGGCGGCACCGCGUCCGGUCCUCGAGCGUAUGGGGCUUUGUCACCCGCUCUGUAGGCCCGGCCGGCGCUUGCCGAUCAACCAAAUUUUUAUCCAGGUUGACCUCGGAUCAGGUAGGGAUACCCGCUGAACUUAAGCAUAUCAAUAAGCGGGA